CCAUGAGCUGCCAAGGCUAUGGAAGCCUUCUGUGACCAUAGACUCCAUCAAUAUCUGGACACGGCCAUAAGCAAAGUGGAAGUUCUCUCCUCCCUUCGGACAAGAGUACAUCCUACUCUGAUGGCCUCUUUUUUCCACUGAGGUCUCACAGAGAUCCUCCAUGUAGCAGACAGCAGUUUAACCUGUUGGACCAGAGUGCUGGCCCCUGUGCUCACCCUCGGGCUUUGCACUGGAGAAAGCCCACGCUGUAAAGAAUCACUGUGUUAGAAGGUCGGAAAGGUCGCAAAGAAAAAGAAAAUGAGUGCAUGAACGGGGAGGAAGUGCAGGGUUGUGGGCGGAAAUAGUUUUUUCGUUUUGUUUUGUUUUUUCAUAGAAGUGGCCGGGAAGACCUCGGAGCAGACUGAUAUUGGAGCAGCCCCUUGCAAGGCGGGAAGGAGCUGACUACCUUGUCUCUGGGUCAGGGGCACAGCAGGAGCUGGUGCGGCCAGAAUGAGGGAGCACACACUCAGAGAGACUCAGUAGAUUUCGUGGGAGCAGAAGCUUGCUCUCUGCUAUUGCCUGGGAAAGCAGUGGAAAUGGCCCAAGUCCUUGGGCUGCUGCACCCAUGUGGGAGCCUGGCUUCAGAUCAGCACAGCUCUGGCCAUUGUAGCCAUCUGGGGAAUGAACCAGCAAAUGGAAG